UUGGAUUUUUUUAAAGUGGAAGGCGAGUUAUUUGAAAAACAAGCUAAUUACGACUAGCAUUCAAAUAGUCGGGGAAAAGAGAUAAUAUCACGUCCAAACUAAUCCUUUUUCAUCCAAAUCAUUUAUGAAAUUUGUGAGGCGAAUUAAGUCUUAAGUCCUUAGCAGAAUACAAGUAUUCGAACAACAAGUUAAGUACGACUAGCAUUCAAAUACUCGGGGAAAAGAUAAGAUGUUACGUCCAAACCAAUAUUUUUUCAUCCAAUAAAGACCAAACUAAAUUCGCUUAAUAAACUUGUUUUGAACGGAA
rnacentral:lncRNA from 1 species